rnacentral:rRNA from 1 species
UACGGGGGGGGCAAGCGUUGUUCGGAAUUACUGGGCGUAAAGGGCUCGUAGGCGGCCAACUCAGUCAGACGUGAAAUCCCUCGGCUUAACCGGGGAACUGCGUUUGAUACUGGCUGGCUUGAAUCCGGGAGAGGGAUGUGGAAUUCCAGGUGUAGCGGUGAAAUGCGUAGAGAUGUGGAGGAACACCAGUGGCGAAGGCGACUCUUUGGCCUGUAACUGACGCUGAGGCGCGAAAGCGUGGGGAGCAAACAGG